ensembl:lincRNA
GCUAGUGUGAGGCCAAUCAGGGUUGUGAUUUAUUCUGCUAAAAGAAAAAUCUCCCAGGUCAGAAGAUGGGAGAGAAGUGCCGAAAUGCUUCAUGUUCACCAGGAAAGAGUGUCCUAAAACAUGGUGGUCUACUGAGACCAACUAAGGAGAAAGCUAAAAGUCAGAAAUCCAGGAUACGAAGUAUUCCCAGGAGCUCUGUACAUUAAACUUUGGGAUGGGAACUUGAUGUUGAGAUGCAAAGUGGCUCAGUGCAUGUCAGGAUGUUGAAUGGGUAAGCCCAGCUCCAAACAGCACACAUACAUCAAUUCUACACACUGUUUCAGAGAAAAGUGGAACCAUAUAUGGAUUCUGGCAAGUUCUAUGAGACGUGACCCGCAGAAGAAAACAGCAGAAACCCUUUAGCAGAGCAAGAUUGGUCAGGACAAUUGUGUAAGUGUCUGAAGAACCAUCUGGGGCUCCUUCAACAACUCAACAAGAGCUGGGUUCCUAUGAGGUCAUGGAGACCAGGAGAGCAUACAGUUUGUAUCUGCCAUUGAGGAGCCACUAUUCUUGGGCAGACUCCUUCGUGAAGAGCAGGAGGGGCCAGAAUUGAAUGCUUUCUUAGGACAUUUCACCACUGCUAUCCAUCCAUGCAAAUGUGGUUAUAUGGAAGUUAUUUUGUGUUAAAGAGAAGAUUGGGAGCAUUGGAAAAGAUUCAAUCUAGAAGAUGGACGUGGUGGCUCAUGCCUCUAAUCCCAGCAUUUUGGGAGGCCAAGGCAGGUGGAUCACCUGAGGUCAGGAGUUCGAGACCAGCCUGACUAACAUGGUGAAAACCCAUCUCUACUAAAACUACAAAAAUUAGCUGGGCAUGGUGGCACCUGCCUGUAAUCCCAGCUACUUGGGAGGCUGAGUCAGGAGAAUCACUUGAACCCGGGAGGCGGAGGUUGCAGUGAGCCAAGAUUGCGCCACCGAACUCCAGCCUGGGCAACAAGAGCAGAAACUCUGUCUCACAAAAAAAAAAAAAAGAAUUCAAUCUAGAAUGUCUGUGUAGUAUUGUUUUGUUUGUGUGUGUGUCAUAAUUAUUUAACU